rnacentral:rRNA from 1 species
UACGAAGGGGGCUAGCGUUGCUCGGAAUCACUGGGCGUAAAGGGCGCGUAGGCGGCCAUUCAAGUCGGAGGUGAAAGCCCAGGGCUCAACCCUGGAAUUGCCUUCGAUACUGUUUGGCUAGAGACCGGAAGAGGUAAGUGGAACUGCGAGUGUAGAGGUGAAAUUCGUAGAUAUUCGCAAGAACACCAGUGGCGAAGGCGGCUUACUGGUCCGGUUCUGACGCUGAGGCGCGAAAGCGUGGGGAGCAAAAAGG